UAAAAGAAGGACAAACACUCAGUGAAAGAUUUAAGAUGUGACCUCAGACACUUGCUUCACUUCUAAGGUGAAAUCUGACUACAAGACAAUAGAACAACUUAAAUCUUUAGAGUAGCAAGUCUCCCUAAAGGGACGUAUAGGUAAUCUUUGACUUACGACCACAACUGAGCCCAAAAUUUCCGUUGUUACCGUGUUUCGCAGAAAAUAAGACCAGGUUGUUGUUUUUUUGCCUCCAAACGAGGCACCAGGUCUUAUUUUCAGGGUAGGCCUUACCUCACCUCCAGCACUGACAGCCCCACCCAGCAGGUCUACUUCUUCUGGGGCUGAGGUUCUAUAGCUGCAUUCAGGCCUGCAUUUUGCAGUCAGGGCUUUCCAGAAGACCUAAGCAGCCAAGUACCGAGCUAUGGAUUCAAUUCAUAGCUUGGUGCUCGGCUGCUGAGGUCUUGCAGAACCGAGCUACGGAUUGAAUCCGUAGCUCAGUUCUUGGCUGCACAGGCCUUCCGGAAAGCCCUGUGACUGAGAAAUGCAGGCCUGGCUGCAGAAGAGGCCUCAGAAAAAGAAAUGGGCUGGCAAGGAAAGGCCUGGCUGCAAGGAAAUUUGAAUUCUCAACACAUUUCAUUUCAGUUCAAAGUAUUCAAAGAUAGAAAACAAAUGAAGGAAUAAACCUCAGGCGGACUUACGGAAAUGCCAUUAUUCACUAUAGAUGAAGAUUUUCAAUAAGAAUCUUACCCUCAAAUAAUGGUAGAUAUAGUUUUUCUCUCAAAAAAGCCAUGAAUUAAUUAACAUAAGGUGGUUUUUUUUUCAUUUUGUAUGGUAGAACAGUGCUAAAUAUUGGCAAUAAAAGAA